GAACUAUGUCUGGGAGUGGCACACUGCUCAGUAACACGUAGCUAACCUACCCUUAGGACGUGGAUACCCCCGAGAAAUUGGGGUUAAUCCGCGAUAGAUGUAAUGUCCUGGAAUGGUAUUACGUCUAAAGGUAUUUCAUACAUGUUUGAAAUAUGCCUAAGGAUGGGGCUGCGGCCGAUCAGGCUGUUGGUGAGGUAAUGGCUCACCAAACCUUUGACCGGUACGGGCCAUGAGAGUGGUAGCCCGGAGAUGGACACUGAGACAAGGGUCCAGGCCCUAAGGGGCGCAGCAACCGCGAAACCUCCACAAUGCACUCACGUGCGAUGGGGCUAUCUCGAGUGCCACCUGAUGAAGGUGGCUUUUCCUUGGUCUUCAAAGCCUUGGGAAUAAGAGGGGGGCAAGACUGGUGUCAGCCGCCGCGGUAACACCAGCCCCUCGAGUGGUGGGGAUGAUUAUUUGGCCUAAAGCGUCCGUAGCCGGCCGUGAAAGUCUUCCGUUAAAUCCAGCGUCUCAAGCGUUGGACCGCGGGAGAUACUACAUGGCUAGAGAGUGGGAGAGGUCAGCGGUAUUCUGGGGGUAGGGGCGAAAUCCUUUGAUCCCCGGAGGACCACCAGUGGCGAAGGCUGCUGACUAGAACACGUCUGACGGUCAGGGACGAAAGCUGGGGUAGCGAACCGGAUUAGAUACCCGGGUAGUCCCAGCCGUAAACGAUGCAUGCUAGGUGUUGGGUUGGCCACGAGCCACCCCAGUGCCGCAGGGAAGCCGUUAAGCAUGCCGCCUGGGAAGUACGAUCGCAAGAUUGAAACUUAAAGGAAUUGGCGGGGGAGCACCACCAGGCGUGAAGCCUGCGGUUUAAUUGGAGUCAACGCCGGG
rnacentral:rRNA from 1 species